AACAUCAGAUUUGGUGAAAUUCUCUCUCUCACAGUUUCUUUCUUUCGUUCUGGUUUAAGCCUAACAUUGAGAUUCGAGGCUGUGUUGAUGAUGAUUUGGGAAAUCGAUUUGCAUGAAGCCAUGGAUGAAGAUGAUGUCUGUACCCAAGCAGUUGCUGCUUCUGAUGUGAAGGUUAGAUUUAUUUUAAUCAAGUUAUUACCCUUAUUUGAUUUUGAUAUCAAGCAAUUUGCUUUGAAGUUCAAUUUUAGGGUUUGAUUUCUUUACGUAUGGUAUCCAUAUUGUCAUCAAGAUUUUUGUUUGAUGUUUUCUUUAUUUAUGUGAAUUAGUUCAAUUUGAUUUUUUUUAUCAUGUUAGAAACCCCUAAGUUGAAAUUCAUACAUAGAUGAAGAUGAAUUUGUUUGAUUUGGGUUUUUUUUUUUUUUUUUUGAACGAUGACUUUCUUUUUGAGUGACCCAAUGUCACACUACCUAAACGUCUGCCCUAGCCAAGAUCUGCCCACACUACAUUGUCUUAACCUAGCCCGCGCACUGGGUUGUUCAUACUUGGUUACGGCGUUCCCCUGGAAACCGUACCACCUCCACACGAGAUGCCGGAUGAAAACCGGGGUGCGGCUCAGGAUCGAACCCCCCUCGGUGGGUUUGUCACCAUCAUUGCACAAUAUCCACCCCAAUAUGACACAAGUGGGAUUGUGGGAAUUGAAAUUUGAUAUCGACAUGAUGAUGGCAACAAUGUACUAGCUCUCUCUGACCCAUCUCUUGUUAUUUUUUGACUUUUGAAAAUUAUUGAAUAAAGAGUUUUAAGAUUUUGAGAUUAAUGAUUCUCCGCAGCAUGUAUUGUUUUAUAUACUUUUUGUUAGUGACAGAUCCUCAUUUAACAAAGAAUGGUAGAAAAAAAUACUUGCAGAUACUUUACCAUAAUGAGUCUCUAUAAAAUUGUGAAAUGAACAAAGAAUUACAUAUACUUUUACACAUGUUCUUUAAACUCCCACAUAACCAAAAGGUUCAGUUUUGUAUAUUUAAUUGUGAAUUGAGAGUUUAAAACCUUGUUUCAACGUUAGCAAACGACCCAGUAAUUUUCAUCAAAAUCCGUUCUUUGUUAACAUAAUAUAUAUUUUUUAUUUAUUUGAUACUUCAAUAUUCUUCAUGGAGAAUCAAGAUAUCAUUUUUUAAACCGACCCAGCCCGAAAGCUUAAAUGACCCCAACCUGUUCUGACCCGAACUAAAACAAUUAAUCGACCCGUUUGACAGGGCAUACCACCUGACUUACCAUCCCCUUUUUGUUAGGUGUAGUUAUUAUAUGGCACUCUUUCCUUCUUCCAGCACAUUCAUCAAUUCUUUUUAAUUGUUAUAUGAACUGUGAGUUUUACACUUGGUCAAAGUGUUUCAGCGGUCUUAACUUAACUGCAUCUGUACCUGGAAAAUCGAUGUGUUUAUUAGUUGGAGGUCACAAGGUAGAGGUUGUGGUGAUAUUUGUGCGGUUCAAAACAGGUUAGAUUGGGUUAGCUACAUUUCUUGGUUAUACCCGUUCAAAACAGGUCAGGUUGGAUCUGAUGAAUGGGACAAGCCCUCGAGCCACUUUCAAGGAUCCGUUCAUAAGUGACAACAAUAUAUAGUCGGCCGGCUAAAUGGGUUGAAGCGGGUUUAGGUCGUUGCGGUUCCAACCAAACUGGGUACGGGUGAAAUGGAAUGUUUUAGAAAGAGAUCGUUUGCUUUGGCUCAGAAUGGGUUUACGACCUUUGGGUUUUAGCGAGCUCCACUCUGAGCGUGCUCUGAUCAAACUAGAUACAGGAUGAGGUUUCAUACACCAGUUAUAAUGAAACGCCUUUGUCUAAUGUAUUGGAGAGUAUCACAAGUCAUCUUCUUCUGGCGACGUUAAGCGUAAUCUACAUGAGGUGUAUGAUGUUGACGACACACUGGGAUGUUCUUCAACCAAACGUCGUGUUAGUGAUGCGAAAGAUGAAGCCCAAGAUUCUGAAGGCGCUAAGCUUCUCAUUCCAAAAAUCGAGAAGUAGCAUGUGUCCUUAGUCGUAUGUUUUGCUGGUGUUGAAUUUAAGACAACUGGUUAUUAUUUUAUUUCGUGUUGAGGAUGUUUUUCGAGGUUUCUUAUGGUUUUUGGAGUGGUUUUAAGACAAUAUUGAUUUGAAUAAUAUGGUUUAAUUAAAAAUAUUUAUCGUUGUCAUUUUUGUGGAGGAUGUUUUUCGAGGUUUCUUAUGGUUUUUGGAAUGGUUUUAAGACAAUAAUGAUUUGAGUAAUAUGGUUUAAUUAAA
rnacentral:lncRNA from 1 species